GCACACUCAUCAUGGAGCUGUGGGAAGGUCCGAGAAACCGCCACAACCGGCACGUGUGAGGGAUGGAUGCUCUGUGCUUGCUGC
rnacentral:ribozyme from 1 species